rnacentral:lncRNA from 10 species
CCGAGAUGCUCCUCUGAAAGCCCUUCCAGGCCAGUGCACAGCUCUAUUGGCCUCCUUCCAGGCCAGAGGCUGACACUCAACCUAAAGAGGGACUGGGAAAGGGACUGGAGCUGGGGAGGUGUUGGCCAGGGAGGCUUCAGAGGAUGUGGGCUACAGAGUCUGGUAACAGAAGGUCUCGAUCUGCUUUUAAUUAAUUAAUUAAUUAACUCAUUAUUUGUCUGAGCAGAACUCAAGACUUGGAGACAGAAAACCAUGGUGUGACCUACAGCUCUGCUACUAUCAUAUCUUUUGACAAUGUGCUUCUUGAAAGCAAUUUCAAGGAAAUAAUAAGGCUAGAAGGUCUGGCUUAGACAGGAGAACUCCUGACUCUUCUAGUAAAACUUGAGGAAGACUGGAAAGAACAGGAUGUAGGUAAGUUUGUGGAGGAUUCGGCAAGAUGUUGUUGCAAGCCUCUGCAGUGCUCUGUUGAGCCAGAUUCUUCCCAGAGUCCCUGAUUCCUGAUGCUGAGCCUACCCCAUCACCUGCUCUCCAGAGCCAGCCCUUGA